GCGAGUGAAGCGGCAAAAGCUCAAAUUUGAAAUCUGGUACCUUCGGUGCCCGAGUUGUAAUUUGGAGAGGGCAACUUUGGGGCCGUUCCUUGUCUAUGUUCCUUGGAACAGGACGUCAUAGAGGGUGAGAAUCCCGUGUGGCGAGGAGUGCGGUUCUUUGUAAAGUGCCUUCGAAGAGUCGAGUUGUUUGGGAAUGCAGCUCUAAGUGGGUGGUAAAUUCCAUCUAAAGCUAAAUAUUGGCGAGAGACCGAUAGCGAACAAGUACAGUGAUGGAAAGAUGAAAAGAACUUUGAAAAGAGAGUGAAAAAGUACGUGAAAUUGUUGAAAGGGAAGGGCAUUUGAUCAGACAUGGUGUUUUGUGCCCUCUGCUCCUUGUGGGUAGGGGAAUCUCGCAUUUCACUGGGCCAGCAUCAGUUUUGGUGGCAGGAUAAAUCCAUAGGAAUGUAGCUUGCCUCGGUAAGUAUUAUAGCCUGUGGGAAUACUGCCAGCUGGGACUGAGGACUGCGACGUAAGUCAAGGAUGCUGGCAUAAUGGUUAUAUG
rnacentral:rRNA from 1 species